UAGUUCCUGUAUUCUCUACAGAUUCUUUCUUCAGUGUUGUUCUUACUCUGUCCUGCAGAUGGUGCUGUGAUUCUGGACAGUCCUGUUCAUCCUGUGACUGAGGGAGAUCCUCUGACUCUGCGCUGUUUAUAUCGUGACCCAAAGCCCUCAAACCUCACAGCUGAGUUCUAUAAAGAUGGAUCACUCCUCCAGACUCAGACUACAGGAGAGAUGACCAUCCGUACUGUCUCAAAGUCAGAUGAAGGUCUCUACCACUGUAAACACCCAGAGAAAGGAGAGUCUCCACAGAGCUGGAUCUCAGUCAGAGGUGAAUCUAAAUCAGGAGCUUCAUUCUCAGUGUUCAGUCUGCUCAGUAGUUUAAAGGCAGCAUCUCCAUAUCUGCUGGUGUCCAUUGUGCUGAUGGUCAAAUGCUACAGAGCUCGAGCUAAACCUGAUGAGCUGAACUCAAUGUGACCCUUAACAGAAGCUGGAGCUGGAGAAAGUUUCUUUGGUC